CGCAGAAAUGCCAUAAAUACCGGAUGUGGCCCCAACCUGGCAUCAGGAUGGGAUUAAACGGUUUUUCGCUUUGGGAGCGGCUUAUGACACAUCAGGUAGUUGGUGGGGUAAUGGCCUACCAAGCCGACGACGUGUAGGGGGUCUGAGAGGAUGAUCCCCCCGAGUGGGACUGACACACGGCCCACACACCUACGGGUGGCAGCAGUUGGGAAUCUUGCACAAUGGGAGAAACCCUGAUGCAGCGACGCCGCGUGGAGGAUGAAGGAUCUAUGUCUGUAAACUCCUUUUGCACGGAAAGACUUAGGACGGUACCGUGCGAAUAAGCUCCGGCUAACUACGUGCCAGCAGCCGCGGUAAGACGUAGGGAGCAAGCGUUGUCCGGAUUUACUGGGCGUAAAGGGCGCGUAGGCGGACUGUUAAGUGA
rnacentral:rRNA from 1 species